rnacentral:rRNA from 1 species
AUGAGUCUUCGCCCAAAAGCCACUUGGAUCAUGCUUUCAGGUGGCGCCCAAGGAUGGGGCCGCGACCGAUCAGGUUGUUGGUGAGGUAAUGGCUCACCAAGCCUAUAACCGGUGCGGGCCGUGAGAGCGGGAGCCCGGAGAUGGGCACUGAGACAAGGGCCCAGGUCCUACGGGGCGCAGCAGUCGCGAAAACUUUGCAAUACACGAAAGUGUGACAGGGUCAUCCCGAGUGCCGACCGCUGAGGUUGGCUUUUACCCAGUCUAGAAAGCUGGGGGAAUAAGGAGAGGGCAAGUCUGGUGUCAGCCGCCGCGGUAAUACCAGCUCUCCGAGUGGUGUGGACGUUUAUUGGGCCUAAAGCAUCCGUAGCUGGCUGAACAAGUCCCCUGUUAAACCCACCGAUUUAAUCGUUGGCUUGCGGGGGAUACUGCUCGGCUAGGGGACGAGAGAGGCAGACGGUAUUCCCGGGGUAGGGGUGAAAUCCUAUAAUCCCGAGAAGACCACCAGUGGCGAAGGCUGUCUGCUAGAACGCGCCCGACGGUGAGGGAUGAAAGCUGGGGGAGCGAACCGGAUUAGAUACCCGGGUAGUCCCAGCUGUAAACGAUGCAGACUAGGUGUUUGGACGGCCACGUGCCGUUCUAGUGCCGCAGGGAAGCUGUUA